rnacentral:tRNA from 1 species
GUUAAAAAAGUUUAUAGAAUAAUGGUCUUGUAAAUCAUAGGAUGAAAAUUUAAAUUUUUCUUUUAACA